GAGCCCACAAGGCCGCGGGCUUCGCACGAUGACUAUACCGCCUGUCUCUUUAAAUACGGGUCCUUGAACCAGAGGCAGCGCGCAGGCGCAGUAGCCGAGCCGGGCCUCUGCCUUCCGACCCCGCCCCCUCCGGCCGCCACGUGUGUCGCUGUUCCGUUCCGGUCUAGGGGGUUUGAACUGAGGCGUUGUGGGGUUCAGGGGCGGCUUGGGGCGCUGCGGACCUGAACUUCCUAGAAUGUCUCAGAUUCUUAGAGAGUGAAGACAGUGAUUGAAAAAUUAUCGCAGUGAGCCCAGGGAAGGAAAGAUCGAGUCGUUCCACCUUUAGUUUGUAUUCCUGUCCACAUGCGUUUUGCCGAAUUAAAAAGAGGCUACUUUAAUUUAAAAAGGUAGUUAGGAACUGUGAAGGAGCGACGGGGACGGUGGCCCCGAUUAUAUGUCAUUUAGUGUACUACCGCGCCUAAACCUCAAGUCGGCUUUGUGAUUUUUGAGGUGGCUAAAUUUUACAAAAAUAAAAGUAUCCAGGCCAGAAGCCCUGUGCCCUUUCCAUCCCUACCCCUGUAUGUGGUUGCUUAGCACUGGAGAUGUGACCAGUCUGAACCGAGGGAUGCUGUGAGUGAUCACUGCACACUGACAAGUUCACAACCCUUCUCCAAAGAGUGUAAAAGAGCCAGUUAUCUGCUGAAAUGAUUUUUGAUGUGUUGAGUUAAAUAAAAUAUAUUUUUAUGUCA